AUAGGUAUAGCUCAGUGGUAGAGCACAUGCUUAACAUGCAUGAGAUCCUGGGUCAAACUCCAGCACCUCCA
rnacentral:tRNA from 1 species